GCCGAGUGGUCUAAGGCGCCAGACUCAAGUUCUGGUGGAGAGAUCCUCGUGGGUUCGAAUCCCAC